UACAGAGGUCCCGAGCGUUGUUCGGAUUCACUGGGCGUAAAGGGUGCGUAGGUGGCAUGGUAAGUUUGAUGUGAAAGCUCAGGGCUCAACCCUGAAAUGGCAUUGAAUAUACUGUGCUGGAGGUUUGGAGGGGGGACUGGAAUUCUUGGUGUAGCAGUGAAAUGCGUAGAUAUCAAGAGGAACACCAGUGGCGAAGGCGAGUCCCUGGACAACACCUGACACUGAGGCACGAAAGCUAGGGGAGCAAACAGG
rnacentral:rRNA from 1 species